UGGUAGUCCUAGCUGUAAACGAUGAGCACUAGGUGUUGGUCCGCGAGGAUCAGUGCCGCAGCUAACGCAUUAAGUGCUCCACCUGGGGACUACGGCCGCAAGGCUAAAACUCAAAGGAAUUGACGGGGACCCGCACAAGCGGUGGAACAUGUGGUUUAAUUCGAUGCUACGCGAAAAACCUCACCAGGACUUGACAUGUAGGUAGUAGUGAACUGAAAGGGGAACGACCCGUUAAGUCCGGGAACCUACACAGGUGCUGCAUGGCUGUCGUCAGCUCGUGUCGUGAGAUGUUGGGUUAAGUCCCGCAACGAGCGCAACCAUUGCCCCAUGUUGCUACCUCCGCAAUCUGCUUGCAGAUUUCGGAGCGCACUCUUGGGGGACUGCCUGGGAUAACCAGGAGGAAGGCGGAGAUGACGUCAAGUCAGUACGGCCUUUAUGUCCUGGGCUACACACGUGUUACAAUGGUCGGUACAAAGGGUUGCCAACCCGUAAGGGGGAGCUAAUCUCAAAAAACUGACCUCAGUUCGGAUUGAAGUCUGCAAUUCGACUUCAUGAAGCCGGAAUCGCUAGUAAUGGUAGAUCAGCACGCUACCGUGAAUACGUUCCCGGGUCUUGUACACACCGCCCGUCAAGCGAUGGAAGUUGGGGGUACCAGAAGUCCUAUGUAGAUAGGCCGAAGGUAAAACCAAUGACUGGCGCUAAGUCGUAACAAGGUAGCCGUA
rnacentral:rRNA from 1 species